rnacentral:ncRNA from 1 species
CAACCUCAACUCAUAUGGGACUACCCCCUGAAUUUAAGCAUAUUAAUUAAAAAUCAGUUCAGCACUAAGUCACUUUGUCUAUGUGGCAAAUGUGAGAUGCAGUGUACGGAACAUCAAUAUUCUAGUAUGAGAAGUUAACGAUUUAAGUCCUUCUUAAAUGAGGCAAUUUACCCAUAGAGAGUGCCAGGCCCGUAUAAUGUUAAUGAUUACUAGAUGGUGUUUCCAAAGAGUCGUGUUGCUUGAUAGUGCAGCACUAAGUGGGUGGUAAAAUCCAUCUAAAACUAAAUAUAACCAUGAGACCGAUAGUAAACAAGUACCGUGAGGGAAAGUUGAAAAGAACUCUGAAUAGAGAGUUAAAUAGUACGUGAAACUGCUUAGAGGUUAAGCCCGAUGAACCUGAAUAUCCG